rnacentral:lncRNA from 1 species
UUGGAAGACUGUACUAGCUUGCCAGAGGGAAUUCAGAGGAAACUAGAAUACUUUCCCAAAGAGAAGGUCUCUCUAUCAGACAGUUGGAUGAUGGCAGCACCCAACUUCAGCUGGAAGUGCUCAAACCCCGCAGCAAUGAGACUAAUAUUAAAAGCCCUGAUAGUAUCAGGCACCACACUCCAUUAUAUCACGACUGCAUUUCCAUCUUCAUGCCCAGUCUUCUUAAAAAGAGCUUGUGGAGAGCAGGGACUCAUGACAGCUGGAAAACCUACAUGCCACAGAGAGCCAAAGAUAUCUGACUGUGCAUAAUGGUGCUACCCAUAACCUUGGCACAGGUUUUGAUGAUGAAGUGCAAGGAAAUGACGUUCAGAAGGAAGUUAUAAAAGAACAGAGGAGCACAGGUAGGCCUUUUCUAAGCAAUUUUUCCAGAACAAAAAAAAAAUCUAAAUUAACUAAUCUUAUGCCAAAAGUUGUCUAAGAGUACAAAAAUCUGAGUUCUGUUCCAUCUUCUUGUCUUUACUGAACAUUAAAUUAACUGUAAGUAUCCCUAUGCUUGCAUGAUUUAUCUCUUACAGUAUUGUAGGAGAGAAAACUUUGAAAGGAGCCUUUAAAAUCAAGAGUGCAAUAACAAAUUUUUUGUAGUUUUGCAAUACAGCUUUAACAAAGGAUGUAUUUUCUUUGCUCUUCAGUCUGGAUUUCUGUCUUUCAACAUGAGAAAAUAAAAACUGAUAGAUUGUAUGCUGAAGUCCAUGCUUCUGUCACUCUCCAGUUUGUGGGUGAGAAAUGAAAGGGGCUAACUUUUCUUGCUGAUGAGCUACAUGCAUUUUGUAUGUUUAUAUGCAAAGCCCUACAGUCAUCCGGGAUGAAAAUGAAGGUGUCAUCUAUGAAGACAGGGUUUUCAUCUGUCUGACCCAAACAGUGGCAAUGUGGAUUACUCAUCAGGGAAAGCUGAUUCCAAGGAAAUAUGUGGAUCAUAAAGCAGGCACCAAUUUGUCACUGCAUAGUAAACCUUUGAAGAAAACACGUGUCUGGGAAGUACCAGGACGUAGUUUUGGAGGAGUACAAGCUCAAUGA